rnacentral:rRNA from 1 species
UUUAACGAGAGUUUGAUCCUGGCUCAGGAUGAACGCUGGCGGCGUGCUUAACACAUGCAAGUCGAGCGAAGCACUU